UCGAGCGAGUCUGCCUUGAAGAUCGGAGUGCUUGUACUCUGUGAAACAAGAUACAGGCUAGCGGCGGACGGGUGAGUAACACGUGGGUAACCUGCCCAAGAGAUCGGGAUAACACCUGGAAACAGAUGCUAAUACCGGAUAACAACAGAUGAUGCCUAUCAACUGUUUAAAAGAUGGUUCUGCUAUCACUCUUGGAUGGACCUGCGGUGCAUUAGCUAGUUGGUAGGGUAACGGCCUACCAAGGCGAUGAUGCAUAGCCGAGUUGAGAGACUGAUCGGCCACAUUGGGACUGAGACACGGCCCAAACUCCUACGGGAGGCAGCAGUAGGGAAUCUUCCACAAUGGACGCAAGUCUGAUGGAGCAACGCCGCGUGAGUGAAGAAGGGUUUCGGCUCGUAAAGCUCUGUUGUUGGUGAAGAAGGACAGGGGUAGUAACUGACCUUUGUUUGACGGUAAUCAAUUAGAAAGUCACGGCUAACUACGUGCCAGCAGCCGCGGUAAUACGUAGGUGGCAAGCGUUGUCCGGAUUUAUUGGGCGUAAAGCGAGUGCAGGCGGCUCGAUAAGUCUGAUGUGAAAGCCUUCGGCUCAACCGGAGAAUUGCAUCAGAAACUGUCGAGCUUGAGUACAGAAGAGGAGAGUGGAACUCCAUGUGUAGCGGUGAAAUGCGUAGAUAUAUGGAAGAACACCGGUGGCGAAAGCGGCUCUCUGGUCUGUUACUGACGCUGAGGCUCGAAAGCAUGGGUAGCGAACAGGAUUAGAUACCCUGGUAGUCCAUGCCGUAAACGAUGAGUGCUAAGUGUUGGGAGGUUUCCGCCUCUCAGUGCU
rnacentral:rRNA from 1 species